rnacentral:rRNA from 1 species
AACGAACGCUGGCGGCAUGCCUAACACAUGCAAGUCGAACGAGACCUUCGGGUCUAGUGGCGCACGGGUGCGUAACGCGUGGGAACCUGCCCUUAGGUUCGGAAUAACUCCCCGACAGGGGUGCUAAUACCGGAUAAUGUCCUCGGACCAAGGAUUUAGCGCCUUUGGAUGGGCCGGCGUUGGAUUAGCUAGUUGGUAGGGUAAAAGCCUACCAAGGCGACGAUCCAUAGCUGGUCAGAGAGGAUGAUCAGCCACACUGGGACUGAGACACGGCCCAGACUCCUACGGGAGGCAGCAGUAGGGAAUAUUGGACAAUGGGCGAAAGUCUGAUCCAGCAAUGCCGCGUAAGUGAUGAAGGCCUGAGGGUUGUAAAGCACUUUUACCCGGGAUGAUAAUGACAGUACCGGGAGAAUAAGCUCCGGCUAACUCCGUG